UACGUAGGGGGCAAGCGUUGUCCGGAAUCAUUGGGCGUAAAGCGCGUGUAGGCGGCUAGAUAAGUCUGCUCUGAAAGCCCGGGGCUCAACCCCGGGAGGCGGGUGGAUACUGUCUAGCUCGAGUCCGGAAGAGGAGUGUGGAAUUCCUGGUGUAGCGGUGAAAUGCGCAGAUAUCAGGAGGAACACCAAUGGCGAAGGCAGCUCGCUGGGACGGUACUGACGCUGAGACGCGAAAGCGUGGGGAGCAAACAGG
rnacentral:rRNA from 1 species